UACGUAGGGUGCAAGCGUUAUCCGGAAUGAUUGGGCGUAAAGCGUCCGCAGGUGGCUGUGUAAGUCUGCUGUUAAAGAGCAAAGCUUAACUUUGUAAAAGCAGUGGAAACUACACAGCUAGAGUGCGUUCGGGGCGAGAGGGAAUUCCUGGUGUAGCGGUGAAAUGCGUAGAGAUCAGGAAGAACACCGGUGGCGAAGGCGCUCUGCUAGGCCGCAACUGACACUGAGGGACGAAAGCUAGGGGAGCGAAUGGGAUUA
rnacentral:rRNA from 1 species